GAUAACUCUCAACAACGGAUAUCUUGGCUCUCGCAACGAUGAAGAACGCAGCGAAAUGCGAUACGUAGUGUGAAUCGCAGAAUUCCGUGAACCAUCGAAUCUUUGAACGCAUAUUGCGCUCGAGCCUCCGGGCAAGAGCAUGUCUGCCUCAGCGUCGGUUUACACCCUCACCCCUCCCACUUUGUUGGGUUGCUUGGCAACUUUGCCAGCAUAGGUGGUGGAUCUGGCUUCCCCAAUCUGCCGUCUGGUAGAUUGGGUUGGCUGAAGAGUAGAGGUUUAAGCAAGGACCCGUUAUGGGCUUCAACUGGAUAGGUAGCACCGGCUUGUGCCGACUACACGAAGUUGAUGCUCGUGGAUCUUGCUAGAGGCCAAGCAGGAACGUGCCCAUGGCACGUCUAAACUUUCGACCUGAGCUCAGGCAAGGCUACCCGCUGAACUUAAGCAUAUCAAUAAGCGGAGGAA
rnacentral:rRNA from 1 species